CCGGGAGGGAGUUGUGAGGCGUGGCCGGGUGGAGGAGGCGCCUGGGGGGGCGUGGGGCUCCCCGGCGAGCGGGAGGGACAGAGCGAGGCGCGCCGGACAAUGAGCUGGGCAGCUCGGCGCUGCGGCCACUUUUAGGGGGGCGCGGGCCGGCCGGCGCCUCCGCGGCUCCACCUGCGAGGAGAGGGCGGGAUGCCAGAGCUGGGUGUCCCGGCGCUCUGAGGCUCCUCGCAGUUAGACGUCCCUGAGCCGGUGCUCGCCUUGACCCUGGGCUACCUGGAGGCUUUGGCUGGGGCGUGUUUCGUGGGGGCGCCCCUGGAGCAGCCGCGAUGGCCAGCACCAGGAGUAUCGAGCUGGAGCACUUUGAGGAACGGGACAAAAGGCCGCGGCCGGGGUCGCGGAGAGGGGCGCCCAGCUCCUCCGGGGGCAGCAGCAGCUCCGGCCCCAAGGGGAACGGGCUCAUCCCCAGCCCGGCGCACAGUGCCCACUGCAGCUUCUACCGUACGCGGACCCUGCAGGCCCUGAGCUCGGAGAAGAAGGCCAAGAAGGCGCGCUUCUACCGGAAUGGGGACCGCUACUUCAAGGGCCUGGUGUUUGCCAUCUCCGGCGACCGUUUCCGGUCCUUCGAUGCGCUGCUUAUGGAGCUCACCCGCUCCCUGUCGGACAACGUGAACCUGCCCCAGGGUGUCCGCACCAUCUACACCAUCGACGGCAGCCGGAAGGUCACCAGCCUGGACGAGCUGCUGGAAGGUGAGAGUUACGUGUGUGCAUCGAAUGAACCGUUUCGUAAAGUUGAUUACACCAAAAACAUUAAUCCAAACUGGUCUGUGAACAUCAAGGGUGGGACCACCCGCGCCUUGGCUGCCCCCUCCUCAGUGAAGAGUGAAGUGAAGGAAAGUAAAGAUUUCAUCAAACCCAAAUUAGUGACUGUGAUUCGAAGUGGAGUGAAGCCUAGAAAAGCUGUGCGGAUCCUUCUGAAUAAGAAGACUGCUCAUUCCUUCGAACAGGUCUUAACAGAUAUCACUGAAGCCAUUAAACUGGACUCAGGAGUGGUGAAGAGGCUCUGCACGCUGGACGGGAAGCAGGUUACUUGUCUGCAAGACUUUUUUGGUGAUGAUGAUGUUUUUAUUGCAUGUGGACCUGAAAAAUUCCGUUACGCCCAAGAUGACUUUGUCCUGGAUCACAGUGAAUGCCGUGUCUUGAAGUCGUCUUAUUCUCGCACCUCAGCUGUUAGGUAUUCUGGAUCCAAGAGCCCUGGGCCUUCUCGACGCAGCAAAUCACCAGCUUCAGUAAAGAGGGGUGGCCACUACUCCAGGGCCUACUCUACAGCCAAAUCCCCAGUUAAUGGAACUCCCAGCAGCCAACUUUCCACUCCUAAAUCUACGAAAUCCUCCAGUUCCUCUCCAACUAGCCCAGGAAGUUUCAGAGGAUUAAAGCAGAAUUCUGCACAUGGCCGAUCUUCUUCCAAUGUAAAUGGCGGGCCUGAACUUGAUCGUUGCAUGAGUCCUAAAGGUGUGAAUGGAAACAGGUGCUCUGAAUCGUCAACUCUUCUUGAGAAGUACAAAAUUGGGAAGGUUAUUGGUGAUGGCAAUUUUGCAGUAGUCAAAGAGUGCAUGGACAGGUCCACAGGAAAGGAGUUUGCCCUAAAGAUUAUAGACAAAGCCAAAUGUUGUGGAAAGGAGCAUCUGAUUGAGAACGAAGUGUCGAUACUGCGCAGAGUGAAACAUCCAAAUAUCAUCAUGCUGGUUGAGGAGAUGGAAACAGCUACUGAGCUUUUUCUGGUGAUGGAAUUGGUCAAAGGUGGAGAUCUCUUUGAUGCAAUUACUUCUUCAACCAAGUACACUGAGAGAGAUGGCAGUGCCAUGGUGUACAACCUGGCCAACGCCCUCAGGUACCUCCACGCCCUCAGCAUUGUGCACAGAGACAUCAAGCCAGAGAACCUCUUGGUGUGUGAAUAUCCUGAUGGGACCAAGUCUUUGAAACUAGGAGACUUCGGGCUGGCCACUGUGGUAGAAGGCCCUUUAUACACAGUCUGUGGCACCCCGACUUACGUGGCCCCAGAAAUCAUUGCUGAAACCGGCUAUGGCCUGAAGGUGGACAUUUGGGCGGCUGGCGUGAUCACGUACAUACUGCUCUGUGGAUUCCCACCCUUCCGAAGUGAGAACAAUCUCCAGGAAGAUCUCUUCGACCAGAUCUUGGCUGGGAAGCUAGAGUUUCCGGCCCCCUACUGGGACAACAUCACGGACUCAGCCAAGGAAUUAAUCAGUCAAAUGCUUCAGGUAAACGUUGAAGCGCGGUGCACUGCGGGACAGAUCCUGAGUCACCCCUGGGUAUCAGACGAUGCCUCCCAGGAGAAUAAUAUGCAGGCUGAAGUAACAGGUAAACUCAAACAGCACUUUAAUAACGCGCUCCCCAAACAGAACAGCACCACCACCGGGGUCUCCGUUAUCAUGGUAAGUAGAACGCACGGUUCUGCCCUUGGGCAGCUGCAGCAUCUGGCUGACUGCUCAGCCGAUGUCGAAUCUUAUCAAGUCAGCCGCCAAGCGCUUCCCUCACGCGGCCGUGGGCGCCGUCGCGUUCCUCUACACUUCAGGAAUGGCUUGGCACGUGAAAGGCACCCUUUGGCCGGCUCCCAGGCCUUGGGUCCUGGGAUCAGAGGUUACGCAGGUCCCAGCAAGGCCAGGCUGAUGGGCCCCUGGCCGGGGCGCCCCGGCCUCUUCUCCUGGGCCUGGUGGCCUCCAGGCAGCUGCUUCUGUCUCAUCUCUGCUUUCCCGUCUAGAGAGCAGUUCCCAAGCCCAGGUGGGACUUACAGCAAAAGGAAGUGACUCCCUGACUGCUCAAGGCCUCAGACAUAGAUUAUUUGAGCUAUGAAUGAUUCUUUGGGACUUGGGAUAAGAAACAGCCAGAGUUAAGCAAAUUCCAUUUUAAAAAGUCAGUGUUUUGUGGUUUUUAAAAGUUCAGAAGAAUGAAAAAAAAAUAUUAGUUUUUUCAGGGUUGGUAAAAUUUUAUGACAAGUCAGUAACAGUGAUCCCCAUAUUUUUUCAAAUCUUCCUUCUUCCAAAAUGUUUUUAAAAAGGCAGCUUACCUAAAUCCACAAACACGGCAAAUGGAAAGUGGCAUUAAAGUAAGUGAAGUAGCAUGAAAGUAAGUUCAGCAAACGGGAGAAGAUGGCAGAAAAAAUAAAACUGAGCCAGAAGUGUGGCGUGCACCCUCCCACCAGCUGUCCAGACCCAAGUCCUUGCCCAGGUGGGGCCGUGAAACUGGCCCCCGGUGUGUCCUCACCUGCUCCGGUGCCGUGUGUAGAGCACGGGUCCCCGGCGUGAUCUCCGUCCCGCCCACAGGAUCAGGGAGCCGCGGCCGGGAGCCAGGCUUUCUCAGGAGGCGGGGGCCUGAGCUGGGUCUCGGCCACCCCAGGACUGCGGGGAUCUGUGGAGCCGGACAGCUCCGUCACCCUGACCUCAGGACAGGCCCUCACCCUCUGGAAAGGCUCGGUGUCCUACCCGACUGGGAGGAAAACAGUUGCUUAUUCUCAGGGCGCACCGUAGCCUCGGAAGCUUCCCUGCGAGGACGCGGCUCCAGACAGAGGCAGAGAGAAGCCCGCCCCCUCGUGAGGGCAGGAGGCCGGCUGCUCCUGGAGCCUCCACCACCGUCCUGGCACCGCCGCGCCGUCCUCCUCCCCCGGGGUGGGCGGCUGCGCUCCCCCCUCCAGCCCCCAGGCCAGGCUUGCAGGCUGAUGUGCUGCCGGACUCGCGAGUGGGGGUGAUGAUGGACUCUGGGCCGAAAGAGCGGGAAGGCCUCUUGAGCUGUGGUUUUCCUGGCAUCUCAGCAGUGUUCUGCCGAGAGCCUGAGAAAGUCAGAGUUGUCACAGAGCGGCAGCUUAAACCCUUUGCAAAGAACCAUCUUGACUGAGCCCACAGCAUGAGAAAGUUCUCAAGCGGUUCACCCUUGAGAGCAAGGCUGCCGGCUGGGGUAAGGGGUCACGGCCCUGCCUCCGGCUGCGUUGUUAGGCAGCUUCUGGGGAAAUUUACAAAAAUUUAAAAACAUUGAAAACUGGCACACGCAACAUGGAACAAAAAACUUGAGUCAGCAGCACAAUUUAACAACCACACGUUAAUUCAGCUUCAUAGUGUGCUAGAGGAAGAACCUUUAUAGGAGGCGCCCAGGGCUUAUGGCAGCUCCCCCCUCAUUCCCUGGGUCACCCGUCAACUCACGGCCCAGAUGGGAAUGGAUGGCCCAAGGCGUGUGGCCCGCCAAGGUUCUGGAAUGGUCAGCCCUUCUGCCUUUUGGCCCAGUAUAGGCUCUGUUCUGGAUAAGGACGUUUAGGUUGCCCUAGAACCUACAUCUCACGGUUUACAAAUGGCAUUUUUCCAUUUGCUGAUGGAUUUCAACUGUUAAAUUUCAAACGCCUGAGCUUUAACGGGAUGUUUGUGUGAAUGAACAACGCUUUAUUGUGAUUCCAGCGGUGAUUGUGAAAGUUGUGUGUUCCCAUGUGUGUUCAGUGUCACCUUGGGCAUGUUGGCAGGGCUCCGUCUAACCCCGCAUUCCGUACACAACUCCACAGCUCGAUAGCUCUGGGGAGGUGCUGACGACGUCACCACGCUCACUGCCUACGGGGGAAUCAGUAGAGCCUGCCUCGGGGGGUACCAGUUCUCCGUGGCCACAAAGCUGGCCUGUGAGUUCUGGCUUGUCCCCCAGAGCAGCGGUGAGCAGGCCUCCGCAGGGAUGUCGUACUCAUCCUCGCCCGACCGAGGACCUGGCGUGGUUGUGUCCGGGCAGCUUGCAAGGCUUCUGUGUCGUCUGCCUCGCUCUCUUCACCAGUACUGUGCGUCUUUGUGUCCUGCCCUUGGGAACAGCUUCAGAUGUUUUCUUAAAAAUCAUUAUUCACAAAUGACGCUCCCUGGUAUUUAUAUGUUCUCAUAACUGGGGUAUGUGAGGCUCAUGUGGUUUCCUACAGAUACAAAUAGCAGUGGAAACAGGGUAUAAAUGUUCCGAGGCGGAACCCUCAGGAACGGCUGUGUCGCUCCCAGACAGAACCUUGCUCUCCGCUGCCACCCCUAGUGUUCUCUCUGCCUUGGCCCCCCACGCCCCCCAAAGGAUUGGAGCCUGAGGCUCCGGUGAGAAAAUGAUAGGGUAGGAAUGGUAAAUAACGGUGCAAGAAAGUCAAGUUGAUGCUGUUGUCUGCAUUUUGUUUGACAGUUUGAUUUGACAGUUUGAGAGACACUUCAGAGUUUCACUCUGUACCCCGUUGAGACUCUGGGGACCCCGGAGCAGAAUUCUGAACACGGCUCUAGAUAAGGAGGGCCAGAUCUUCGGCAGUAAGCUCGGCGCGGACGGCAGCCGGCCCGGCCUGGAGCCCG